rnacentral:tRNA from 1 species
GGGCCUCUGGCGCAAUGGCAACGCGUUUGACUUCGAUUCCUGUAAAAUUUACAGAUAAACGUAUCAAAAGAUUGCAGGUUCGACCCCUGCGGGGCUCA